rnacentral:lncRNA from 1 species
CGGAAUCGAAUUGUACAUAAGUACUACACUUGGGAUACAGUGUGAUUUAUACGUAAAAUAUAAUACAGUAAAAUAAACAAAAUGAGAGUCAAAGCUUGAGGCCCAUAUGAUUUAUUGUAACAUUUCAGCUGGGAUCAAAGUAACAUCAAAAGUUAUUAGUUACCGCACGUUUGUUGGGGUCAGACGCACGUCACCAAAUUAAAGCAACAAAUAGUUCAUUUUGGUGUUUUAUAACGUGAAAAUCUUGAUUGAAACGAGGAUCACAAAUUAAGGAGAAU